rnacentral:rRNA from 1 species
GAUGAGGCAUGCAAGUCGAACGGAUACAGUAGCUUGCUAUUGUAUUAGUGGCGGAAGGGUUAGUAAUACAUGGGUAACUUGCCUUUAACUUGGGAAUAACGAUUGGAAACGAUCGCUAAUACCGAAUGUGGUGACACUAGGCAUCUAGUGUUCAUUAAAGUGGGGGAUCGCAAGACCUCGCGGUUAAAGAGAGGCCCAUGGGAUAUCAGCUAGUUGGUGAGGUAAAAGCUCACCAAGGCUAAGACGUCUAGGCGGAUUGAGAGAUUGACCGCCAACACUGG